CCUACGGGUGGCAGCAGUGAGGAAUAUUGGACAAUGGACGCAAGUCUGAACCAGCCAUGCCGCGUGCAGGAAGACGGCUCUAUGAGUUGUAAACUGCUUUUGUACGAGGGUAAACGCAGAUACGCGUAUCUGUCUGCAAGGAUCGUACGAAUAAGGAUCGGCUAACUCCGUGCCAGCAGCCGCGGUAAUACGGAGGAUUCAAGCGUUAUCCGGAUUUAUUGGGGUUAAAGGGUGCGUAGGCGGUCGGAUAAGUUAGAAGUGAAAUCCCGAGGCUUAACUUCGGAAUUGCCUCUGAUACUGUUCGGCUAGAGAGCAGUUGCGGUAGGCGGAAUGCAUGGUGUAGCGGUGAAAUGCUUAGAGAUCAUAAAGAACACCGGUGGCGAAGGCAGCUUACCAGGCUACUUCUGACGUUGAGGCACGAAAGCGUGGGGAGCAAACAGGAUUAGAUACCCGGGUAGUC
rnacentral:rRNA from 1 species